rnacentral:rRNA from 2 species
CGGCGAUACCCGAAUGGGGAAACCCAGUGUGAUUCGUCACACUAUCAUUAACUGAAUCCAUAGGUUAAUGAGGCGAACCGGGGGAACUGAAACAUCUAAGUACCCCGAGGAAAAGAAAUCAACCGAGAUUCCCCCAGUAGCGGCGAGCGAACGGGGAGGAGCCCAGAGCCUGAAUCAGCAUGUGUGUUAGUGGAAGCGUCUGGAAAGGCGCGCGAUACAGGGUGACAGCCCCGUACACAAAAGCGCAUGUGCUGUGAGCUCGAUGAGUAGGGCGGGACACGUGGUAUCCUGUCUGAAUAUGGGGGGACCAUCCUCCAAGGCUAAAUACUCCUGACUGACCGAUAGUGAACCAGUACCGUGAGGGAAAGGCGAAAAGAACCCCGGCGAGGGGAGUGAAAAAGAACCUGAAACCGUGU